UACGGAGGGUGCAAGCGUUGUCCGGAUUUAUUGGGUUUAAAGGGUGCGUAGGCGGCCUCUUAAGUCAGUGGUGAAAGCCCGCGGCUCAACCGCGGAACUGCCAUUGAUACUGGGAGGCUUGAGUACAGACGAGGUGGGCGGAAUUGAAGAUGUAGCGGUGAAAUGCUUAGAUAUCUUCAAGAACACCGAUUGCGUAGGCAGCUCACUAGGCUGUAACUGACGCUGAGGCACGAAAGCGUGGGGAGCGAAUAGG
rnacentral:rRNA from 1 species